rnacentral:lncRNA from 1 species
GUGUGUUUAUCAUGUGCAAUACUGCAUAUGACUCGCACAUGGCUAGUUUCAUUUUUCUCUUUCAGUUUUUCAUGUUGUAAGCUCUUUGAUUUAAAAAUGUCAAAAUCCGUCACAAUGACCAACAAAGUUGCUAUUUUGAAAGAAAUUAAAGAAAAUAAGGACUAUUUAUUUGAAAUAUUUUCAAAAACAUUGAGUAAACCCAAAAAUGUGACUCUUGGAAGACAAUACGCAACAAAACAGCUAGUUUAGGAUUGACAGUGCCGGAUUAAACAAGAUGGAGGCCCUUAGGCAGUCGAAAUCUUGGGGCCCUGUCACCUAAUAAUUUUACAAAUAUGAUUUUAUUACACAACAGUUUUAGGAAUGUAAUUUUAUUGCACAAAAAAAAAAUAACAAAUUACCCCGAUAUUGUUUAGUUAUUUGUAGGAAUAGGUUCCUGUAUUCAGUAAGAUUUGUUAAUACUGCAAUCAAACAUUUCUUUGUUGUAAUCAAAAUUUCUUCAUUUAAGGAUUUCUUUGUAUAUCUACAUAUAUAUAUUAUAUACAGUUUAAUCUAAUGUUGCGGGGCCCCUAAAAAGCGUGGGGCCCAUA